CCCUUAGAUGUUCUGGGCCGCACACGCGCUACACUGACGAAUGCAACGAGCUUAUAACCUUGGCCGAAAGGUCUGGGUAAUCUCCAAAUUUCGUCGUGAUGGGGAUAGAUUAUUGCAAUUAUUAAUCUUCAACGAGGAAUGCCUAGUAAGCGCAAGUCAUCAGCUUGCGUUGAUUACGUCCCUGCCCUUUGUACACACCGCCCGUCGCUCCUACCGAUUGAAUGGUCCGGUGAAGCGUUCGGACCGUGGCCUUUGGACGGUUCGCCGUCUGUUGGCUGCGGGAAGUUCGUUAAACCUUAUCAUUUAGAGGAAGGAGAAGUCGUNACA
rnacentral:rRNA from 1 species